GCGCCAUCAGCUUCAUCCAUCUUUAUUGCUCAGCUUCAUCUUCUCGAACCCAGCCAUCUUCGUUCAUCCAUCUUCAUCGUUCAGCUUCAUCUUCUCGAUCAAAGGAAUGGCUUUAAUGGUAUAAAUAGGUUUGAGCAGCGAAAAAGGUUUCAGAGGAAAAAGCGUCUUUUCUGCUAAUUGGAUUCACACAUCCACAAAAAACAUCAAACUUUCUUUUACCCUUUUGCUUUCUCCCUUCAAUUAUUUGUUCCAUCAAUUCCUCUUUUGCCUAUUUAACAGCUUCUCCUUUUUUCUCUCUUGUUUUUGAAAAUGUGAUUUUGCAAGUCGCUUGAAAUGGGGAAGAAAUCUUCCGCUUCACUCAAGAAGAAACGUUCCAAGCACUCCUCUAAGUCUAAGGAAGCCAUGAGUCAGCAAAUUGAUGAAGUUGUGCCUGGGAAUGCACUUUUCCCUUCAUCCGAAUUUGAAUUGCCAAAAGGUAGAGCAAUUCAGGUUGAGGACAAUAUGAUUGAAUGCAAACCAUCAAUGGAUGUAAAGCACCCACACAAUUAGGAUUCUAGUGUCAUUAU